AGUGAACGCUGGCGGCGUGCCUAAUACAUGCAAGUCGAACGGAGUGGCGCACGGGUGAGUAAUAUAUCGCUAAUCUGCCCCUUGCUGGAGGACUACAGUUAGAAAUGACUGCUAAUACUCCAUAGCAAGGGAUGAGACGAUAUCUUAUCAGCUAGUCGGUGGGGUAACGGCCUACCGAGGCUAUGACGCGUAACUGGUCUGAGAGGACGAUCAGUCGCAUUGGAACUGAGACACGGGCCAAACUCCUACGGGAGGCGGCAGUAGGGAAUAGCGCGCAAGGGGGGAAACCCUGACGCAGCAACGCCGCGUGGAGGAUGACACUUUGCGGAGAGUAGACUCCUUUUGUUAGGGAAGCGGUACCUGAAGAAUAAGCACCGGCUAACUCCGUGCCAGCAGCCGCGGUAAUAC
rnacentral:rRNA from 1 species